rnacentral:rRNA from 1 species
UACGGAAGGCAGCAGUGGGGAAUAUUGCACAAUGGGCGCAAGCCUGAUGCAGCCAUGCCGCGUGUAUGAAGAAGGCCUUCGGGUUGUAAAGUACUUUCAGUCGUGAGGAAGGUGUUAAGGUUAAUAACCUUAGCAAUUGACGUUAGCGACAGAAGAAGCACCGGCUAACUCCGUGCCAGCAGCCGCGGUAAUACGGAGGGUGCGAGCGUUAAUCGGAAUUACUGGGCGUAAAGGGCACGCAGGCGGUUAAUUAAGUUGGAUGUGAAAUCCCCGGGCUUAACCUGGGAAUGGCAUUCAAGACUGGUUAGCUAGAGUCUUGUAGAGGGGGUAGAAUUCCAUGUGUAGCGGUGAAAUGCGUAGAGAUGUGGAGGAAUACCGGCGGCGAAGGCGGCCCCUGGACAAAGACUGACGCUCAUGUGCGAAAGCGUGGGGAGCAAACAGGAUUAGAUACC